rnacentral:misc_RNA from 1 species
GAUGAGAACGCAGCGAAAUGCGAUAAGUAAUGUGAAUUGCAGAAUUCAGUGAAUCAUCGAAUCUUUGAACGCACAUUGCGCCCGCCAGUAUUCUGGCGGGCAUGCCUGUCCGAGCGUCAUUUCAACCAUCAAGCCCCCGGGCUUGUGUUGGGGACCUGCGGCUGCCCGCAGGCCCUGAAAACCAGUGGCGGGCUCGCUGUCACACCGAGCGUAGUAGCAAUCACCUCGCUCAGGGCGUGCUGCGGGUUCCGGCCGUUAAACAGCCUUACAAAACCCAAGGUUGACCUCGGAUCAGGUAGGAAGACCCGCUGAACUUAAGCAUAUCAAUAAGCGGAGGA